GGCAUCAUAAUCUGGCUUCUUCAGGCUGAUUCCAGCACUGUACUUGGUAAAAGCUCCCGAGGAUGUGUCGAAACCUGUCUCUGCACCAAAAGCAAUGCCAUGGGAACCUACAGUUCCUGAAAGGUCGAGAAUCGGUGACUGCUUGAGAGCCAAGACUGAGGAAAAGCUAGCAUGGUGAUGGAAAUAUUGCACUUCCAGCUUUCCGGAGUUGUAAUCAGGCAAUUUCAGUGUAGCAAUGGCCUUUGUAGAUGGCAGAAACUCUGACACAGUCACAGUUGACGUAACAUUCGAAUCUCCGUCAACUUUUAGAUCAACGAUGGUGUUCUUGUAUUUGUACUGUGAACCAAGGUCAAAUGUAUAAAGUCCCCCUUUUUUCACUGCAUUGGAAGUAAGUCCCACUCCGGCUACGCUGUAGGUCGAGAUACUGAGCUUCUGAUCGUAGCUGUAGUCCCUGGUGAGCAGAUCCUUGGCCUUCUUGCCGAUGUCGGUGAAGAGCCCAGGUCCGGC
rnacentral:misc_RNA from 1 species